GGGCACGCACCCCUCUUUCAUUCGGUCCGAUAGCAUGGGGUCCUUUGUGCAGGUCCGGCCACGAGGAUUGAUAACGUGACGACUGGGACAAAGGGAUCCUGCUUGCGGCCUCAGCGGGAAACCCCGCGCGAAGGCUCUCGGAAACGCCUGUCGCGGGCGUCGGUUAUCUCGGUUUCAGCCGACCGUAAAGUACGCUACGCGAGGACAUUCUGCCGACACGCCGCGAAAAGAACUGGUCGCCCCUCGGCAGUCGCCCGUGUGCUGGGAUUCUUACCAGAAAAAACAACCCCAUGGACUCGACGCAGGUCGACAGCGGGGAGGGCGCGCUGGAAGAGCGUCCCCGCAGCGCUGUACUUCUGGGCUGUUCUGCGGCGUCGAUGGUGACCACCGCAGCCGGCCUGUUCGCCGGCAUCUUCCUGCACCCGGCGCUGGUGCUGCUGCUCGUUUUUGGAAACGUCACCAGCGUGGCACUGGCGAUGCGCUUUGGCUACCGGACUCGCGAACCGUCUCCGAACGAGACCAAGGCCACCGUCGGCAGGCCGGUCGUACCUGUCAUCCAAAUCCACCCGCCCAAGAUGGUCACCGAACUCUAGCGCAGCCGCCGGACCGCGGAACGCCGAUGAACGUUGUGUUUGGGCCUAACAUUCGGACUGCGCUGAGAACACGUGUAGGCAGUGUGCCCACUUUUCGAUAACGUGACCAGUGUGAGCAACUUCGCCGCGCGAAGUUGCCUGCACUGCAAACACGCGUAUACACGCUAGCGACAGCACACGUGUCGUCACUUGGAUUUUAUUUGUGCUGAAGAACACUUUGCAAAACAGUGCGCGAUAGUAUAAAUGUUGCGUCGGUGCGCUGGCGCUAGUCGUUCGCGAAGUCGGUUUGCUGUAACCCAGAAGAAUCAGGGAAGAAGGCACUAUGCUACAGUGAUCCUACAUUAAUAAUGCCAUCGCACAAGAGGGCUUUCUGAGAGCAGUUUAUUCCUCAUCCUCUUGCACACGAAAAAAAAAAAAAAGAAAAGGAAGAAAUAGCUGCUCGAAUUCUGUGCGUGCGGCAUGCGCUACAUUAAUGUUUUAAUUCUUUGCGUGUUUAGUUGAAAUAGGGGUCAGUUUGUGCAUACCGCUGCCGCCGAAAAAAGAAAGGAAAAAACAAUGAUGCUGGAUCAGUCUUUCAGUGUGACAAAUUACGUUUCAUGCUUUUUUUUGUCUUUUUAAUGCGCACCCAUGCUUGUGUUUUGGCGUGCAAUAUUCGACCGAUUAUCCAGAAAAGGAAAUAUAAGAAUUAAACUAGAAAUGCACAUAUAUACAAGGGUUGAUCCAGAAAUAAGGUUCCCAUAAAUUUUAGAAAUAGACAACAUUGUUUAUUCUUAUAGCAAUUUACAUCAUUGCAAAGAUGAAACUUUGCUAUAUUUUUCUACAUAAUCUCCAUCGUUUUCUAGGCAAUUUUGUACACGGUGCUUCAAUUUCUGCAUCCCAAUGUCGUAGAACUCCGCCGCCAAAGCGUUGAGGAAGCGUUUCACCUCUUCUUUGACUUCAUCAUCGCUCCAGAAGCGAUGGCCACUCAAAUGUUCCUUUAACUUGGGGAUCAAGUGAUAAUCACUAGGCGCGAGGUCUCGACUAUACGGUGGGUGGGGCAUGACAGUCCACCCAAAGUUUGUCAAAGGUUCCUGGGUUUCACGGGAGACGUGAGGUCGGGCGUUGUCGGGAAGCCGCGUUACACCGGCUGCCAGUCGUCCUCGCCAGCGGGUUUUGGAUAGCUCGCCUGAGUUUUGCUUACACAAUAACUGUCUGAGCUGACUCUUGUCCCACGUUUGAUGAAAUCGACGAGCAGUAUCCCCGUACGAUCCCC